GUAUAGAAACUGAAUUUAAAAUUAUCUGUUACUGCUAAUCUAAAUUUCUUAAAAAUCAACUGUGAUAUAUACAUAGUCUACUUCGAGAAAUGCUGAAUGCUUCUCCUUUUGGAAAUAAAGUCUCUUUCAUAACAGAGUUUCUUUUUCAAAAGACUUGGUUCUCCAGCUCUAAUAUUACAAAAUGAUUCAGUGAAUACUUGAAUAUGAUUCAAUGAAAUCUGAACAGUGCUGGAGCCAAGAAAUUACAAGAAUAAAGUCUGCAGAAAGUGUGCUACUAUGUGUUGUGUGUUUGCACUUGAAAAUAAAUAUACUACUAAAGUACUAGUGGUACAUGUUACUAUGUAUUUGCACAUAUGUUUGAAAUGUCAUACAUAUAUUUGAAAAACCAAAAGAGAAAUUAAAAAUAACAAUAGUGAUCUUUUUCACAGUAGUUUUGUUUGAAUACUAAUUAAGAAUAAGAGGGACCACAUAUCAGUAAGACACAUUAAAUACAGAGUUUGGAGAAUGUAUUGAAAAAAAUUAGUUAUGUUUACUACCCGACUACAUUUGCUUAACAGUUUUAAGGGUGUGAUGACUAGUAAAGGUCAAAGACACCGUCAUGAAUUACUCGUGGAAAUUCCCAUUUCAGGACAAAAAUGGGAACGUAAACACUGACUCAAGCCAGAAAAAUGGGUAAGAUUUAUACUUAACUGGAAAUUAUUCUUGAGAGGAAAAUUGUUGUCAUAGCUAAAAAACACUGCAUCUCAAAUUGCUGUUUUCUGAUUCCAAAGUGUUUGGGUUAUAGAGUCAUCUGGAAACUGAGUUUCCAUUCUGUGAUUGUAACAGAAUGUUAAACAACAGUAGCAUACGGCUACAAAACUAAUUCUCAUUCAGCUACAUUCAGAAACUUCAUAUGUGAGUUUGAAGUAGGAAAUUACUCCACAGCAAAAAAAAAUGACUAUAACCAAGAUUAUUUAUAAACUCAAAGUCCUAUACUGUUUGGAAACACUGGUGUAGGAUCACCACUUUCAGCAAUAAAAAGAUUUCUGUUUCAUUCAGCAGCUACUGGGCGCUUCCAGUGUUGAGACAGACCAUCCAUGCAACUGCCUUUGAGGAAGAAGAUGAAAGAGGAGAAGUGAAUAAAAGAAAGUGAAAGAAACAGAAUUAUUUUAUUGUAAUGCAAACAAAUUACUUCAUUUGAAGAACUCAGUGUCUUUCCUGACAGUAUUCCAUCUCCCUACAUAUUUUCUCUCUUAAAAAUCGGUCUGAGUACAGGUGCUGAAAUAGCAAACACUGAGUGCAAGUGGAGAAAUGGUCUGCAGAAAUGGUCUCUGUGAGGAGCCACUGGGGCUGACCUGCCCCGUACUGGACACAGAGCCACUACAGGGCACAACUAAGCUCCUCAGCCAAGAUAGUAUUACUUCUGUGAAAGUUUGUGCAAGAAAGGGUAAAAAAGUUCUUAAGAAAAAUUCUGUGAGAGAGAAAAGUAAGAAAAAUGUAAGAGAAUCAGCCCUGCAGACACCAAGGCCAGAGAAGAAGGAGAAGAAGUGCUCCAGGCACCCGUGAUGAAGACCUUGGUGAGACAAGCUAUUUCCCUGCAGACCACGGAGGUCCACGGUGGACCAGAUACCUACCUGCAGCUCCUGGAAGAUCCCAU